CACACACGUGUGCGCAUUUAAAGUUUCUGUUAUAGAAAGCAUUUGUGUUUUAACUAUACAAUUGUGGUCACAGUGCCAUGAUACAGAAAGGUUGUGUGUGUGUGUCUUAUUUGAAAUGUAAAGUCUCAGUCUGAAAUAAUAUUGCACCCUGAGUUGCAGAUGAGCCAUGAAUCAGUGGCAGGAAGCGUGUUUAUUGUGUGUGUAUGUGUGUGUCAGGGGCGGGGGCCGCCGUGCCGCGUCACGCCAUUUGUAUUCGUGGUGAACGGGUUUGUAGGGCAUCUUUACAGUCCCUAAUGGAUCAAUUAGCACUAAUAUUCACCUUUGUGUAACAAAAGCCAACUGUAUCAGCUGCCAGUGAAGUCCCUCGUUUAUUCCAAGACCUAAUGGAUUCUUCCUCCAGGCCGGAAGUUGACCAGAAAUGCAGGUUUUUUUGGGUUUUUUUUUCCAAGCAAAGGCAAAACCGGUCUUGGACACCGAUCCGAUAUCACAUCUACUAGAGCUCGAGUGAUACAGGAUUUUACCGAUAAUGAAGUCAGGGGGUACCUGCCCAUAACCGAUUAAUCAACAAUCCACAGUUGAUUUCAAUUUCAGUCCAUGAAAUAUUGCUGAAGAUUAUUCCAAAAAUAAACAAUACUGACUUUGCCUUGAAAAUGUUCUGUACAUUUUUAUUUUUUAUAAUUUUUUUUUUAGAAGAAGAAAUGCAUAUAUAAAUAUUAAUAUAUAUUAACUGUCAAUAAAUAUUAAAGUGAGUGAAAAAUAUACAUCCAAACUGAACCGAAAAUUGACGCCCCAAAUAACAAAUAAAAAAAUAUACAUACAAAAUGAAUAAUAAAAAAACACUUCAGAUGUUUUCUCUACAGUAGUAGCUCGUUAUCCCGUCCCUGUAGGAUUUCGUAGGGUUUUUCUGUUUGUUUUUGGGUUUGUUUGUUGUUUGUGAUUGUUGCGGCCAAAACUGUGUGAUUUUGCUGUGGAUUCUUUCAAAGUUUGUGAUGCAAUUUACAGGUUUUUUUUGGGCUGUUGUGUGUGUUUCGUUUGGUUUUUUUUUUUUUGGUUUUUUUUUUUUUCGUUUUUUUUUUCUUUCCGAAAAAUGGCCAGUGGUGAUCAUCAUGACAAUCAUCAUAUUGUAUAGUGUUUCCUUUUGUAAAGAGGAUGUUUACAACAGGAAAUACUAUUUAAUAUGAUGAUUGUCAUGAUGAUCACCACUGGACGUCGUCACUGUGUCACGUCCCUCUUCCCUACGUAGUAAUCAUAUGGUAUUUGUGUCAUUUUCCUGCACACCCUGUCAUCAUCGAGUUGUUUCAUUAAACGCGUUACGUUACAGGAAUAACGUGUUCACUUUCCGGCACACGCUGCAACGUGAUCUUUUUGUCCAGUGCUUAUAAACAUUGCAAAAAUGAUGAGCCCUGCGUUACUGAACAGCUAUGACCAACAGCGGAGUGAUCACAUGCUAACAGGAUGGUGUUCAGUCUCAAUUUUGAAAGGAGCAGAAUAGGAAUCGAUGUGAGGAAGUGACGUGUUCAUCUGAAAGAGAUCCGGUUUAAGAGCAGCUCAGUGGAACAGCCUUAGUCUGGUCUUCUUUUAUUACGGUGAUUAAAUAGAAGGACGCAAGCGAUAAAGUACGCUAGCAUUUAGUUUACUGUUGAGUAAGGCUGUGUGGAGUCGUCCGUUUCAUCCCCCGUUAAUUUCCUGUUGGCGUUUCCUGUUGGUCAGACCACCUCACCUCCUCCUUUCCCAUUAUUUUUACCAGCUGAGGUUUGUUACACAAGCCCUUGGAAGCCCGAGGAAUUGCCUAAACAUGAGUAGAUUUCAGGAGCGGAACUGGCCCCAGAGGCAUCGUGAUCUGAUGCAAUUUCCUUCUCGAAAAAGCAAGAAGUGCUGGAUGUAGUCACUUAUAUAUAAACUGACACCAGCAACUGGGUGACGUUUAAAAAUACGAGCAAAAAAAUUUUAAUCGUGUAGUUAAACUGUGGGUUUUAUAAACCAGCUGUACAGCAUCUGAGUGACCUGAUUAUUCUGUACAGCAAUUCUAUAUAACAAUAUAUAAAGCUAGUUUGCUCCGUUCACUCAGUGACGUGCUGAACCAUGAGGGGGCGUGAACGAGGGCAUGUUGAAAAUGGUAUCGGGACGACACUAAAGGUGCCGUUUUAAAUAUUAGGGAUGGGCGAUAUCUUAUCGUUUGCGAUAUUCCGGUGGAAAUUCUCCCCACCGUAAGAAUGAGUCUUAUCACGAUGAUAACGAUAAAGCCUAGUUGAUGACGUGUUCGUGUGUACGACGGUCUGCGAGCCGUUCUCAUCUCGCGUGCAGAGCGAAAACCAGUACUGCGGAAGGCGGACGUGAAGCCGAGGAGGCGUUUAUCACUAAAUGAGGAGCUACCUUUUACAAUCUGGAACUGGUUUGGUUCCAGGUUCUGGUUUGGAAAAAGUUUUACUUUUAGGUUAAUGUUUGUGUUUCUGAGGCGCUCAGGACUGCAUGCAUCUGUGACUCGAAGCCAAAAACAGUGGUGAAUGGUGCUUUUUAAAAAAUUUUAUUUCUGCAUAUUUAAGCUUGGAGAAACGCACUUUCGUUCUUCUGUGCACGCCUUGUUGUGUGGUCUGAAUUACAAUAAAGUUCACUUUGACUUUGAUUUAUAUCGUCACUGAUAUCGUUAUCGCGAUAAAUACCAGAGAAUAUCGUGAUAUAGUUUUAAGUCCAUAUCGCCCAUCCCUACUAAAUAUACGUGUCUUUCAGUCUGUUCAAGCGGCUGCGUUGUGAGCAGCGUUGUGUACAUGUCCUCUAGGUGGCACCUCAGAGCCGAGACAUCCCUGUCUGUCUGAUUUCUGAGUCAAACCGUAAUGUUUAGCGUUUUUAACGCUCAACAACGUUUAACAUACUGAUGAGCUUUCUGCUGUCAUCGUGAUUGCCGUCAUGAUCCGCAUCUCUAAUCGCAAAACCCUCACCCUGCGUUCGUGAGUAUUUAUUCAUCUAGAAAAUCCAG
ensembl:lncRNA